rnacentral:rRNA from 1 species
GUCGAACGCUGGCGGCGUGCUUAACACAUGCAAGUCGAACGAAGUGGCGAACGGGUGAGUAACGCGUAAUCAACCUGCCCUUCAGUGGGGGACAACAGUUGGAAACGAUUGCUAAUACCGCAUACUGAAGGUGGGGAUUGCGUCGGAUUAGCUAGUUGGAGGGGUAACGGCCCACCAAGGCGAUGACCAGUAGCCGGUCUGAGAGGAUGAUCAGUCACACUGGAACUGAGACACGGUCCAGACUCCUACGGGAGGCAGCAGUGGGGAAUAUUGGACAAUGGGCGAAAGCCUGAUCCAGCCAUGCCGCGUGUGUGAAGAAGGUCUUCGGAUUGUAAAGCACUUUAAGUUGGGAGGCGUUACCAACAGAAUAAGCACCGGCUAACUUCGUGCCAGCAGCCGCGGUAAUUC